UGCAUGACAGUAUCACUUGUGUACAGUUCACUCUCUCCCCGAAUGCGGCGAAAGCGAGGGAUCUUGCCAUUGUAUUCCUGCUUCCGGAUUGUAGAGUACACUUCAUCCCCUGGGAUAGUAGGAGGACAUGUGGCUGCAGCAAACUUUGGACACCCAAACAGGACAUGACCCAGUCCAGGCAAAAACAAACCUGCCGGUUCCUCAAGGUCUGCCCCAAAUCCUUCUUCCUGCCACUUAAGCCAUUCCUAAUGAUCGUGCAUCCAUCAGAGGCAAGGAAUGGCAGGAGUACACAGUGUGCGACUCAUUCCCUUUCCUGAGUACACGCUUCUGCACAGCCAAGUGAUCCCAGACAGACAGUGGGAAGAGUUCAGAUUCUGCAUCUCUGCUGUGGCCUGGCUCACUGUGCCGAGGAGAAAACCAAGGCCCUCUGGGAGACAAGCCUGGCCCAAGGUCACAUCAGCAAGCAGGGCAGAAUGUUUCAUCCGGACAGUAUCAGUUCUCAAGAACAUUCCUGGAGAUGUGAGCCUAGCUGGGUACAGACUGAAGUGCUGAGUCCA